rnacentral:rRNA from 1 species
GAUGAACGCUGGCGGCACGCCUAACACAUGCAAGUCGAACGAAGUGUGAGGAAGCUUGCUUCCAAUCACUUAGUGGCGGACGGGUGAGUAACACGUGAGCAACCUGCCUCUUGGUUUGGAUACCGUUUGGAAACGAACGUUAAUACCGAAUAAUAUAGCGGAUUCGCAUGUUUCUGCUAUCAAAGCUUAAUGUGCUGAAAGAUGGUCUCGCGUCUGAUUAGCUAGAUGGCGGGGUAACGGCCCACCAUGGCGACGAUCAGUAGCCGGUCUGAGAGGAUGAACGGCCACAUUGGGACUGAGAUACGGCCCAGACUCCUACGGGAGGCAGCAGGUGGGGAAUAUUGGGCAAUGGGGGAAACCCUGACCCAGCAACGCCGCGUGAAGGAAGAAGGCCCUCGGGUUGUAAACUUCUUUUACCAGGGACGAAGAACGUGACGGUACCUGGAGAAAAAGCAACGGCUAACUACGUG